rnacentral:lncRNA from 1 species
GGGGUUGUGCUUUGCUACUUGCUUAGGUUUCCAUCUAUUGUAUUUAUCUACAUGGGAAUGAAUUCGUCCGUCAAACCCGCCAUUUGUAUGCACCCGAACAUGUUCAAUCGACCUUCGGCGUAAGCGACUUCGUACUGCUAUAGGCUCUAGUUAGGACUUAGAUAUGAACACCCCCCCUUCGUUAGAAUCCACCCUAAAGUUUCUUAGUAAACAGGGAUCGUUCAGUAAUGACCUAGUCUUUCGCGAGACUUCUGGUUUACCUCUUUUGUUAGGUCUCGACUUCUCCGUUAUGAUCGCCUUUUGUACCCCUACUAAGAACUUGAGAGACGGAACUAUGACUCACGGAAGCGGUAUAUUAGUGCCUUAUGCGGGAAAUCCUUGCUUGACUUGUUGAUCAUCUAUCAUUACUGGCGAAGCAAGCAUACCGAUAAUCAACUCGCUUGAGAGAACAAUUCGAGAAGGAAGACCCCAAGCCAGCCCAAGCAAGAAAGAGGAACUAAAGUCAACUAAUGCUUAAGACAUCCAAGUUCGGACUUCUAAGCUAGUUUCGGUCCUUCCAUCUGCCUUUAUCUCAAUAGCUUUCAAAAUCGAGUGAUUUGAUUAGCUUACAUCGGAGGAUGGUCUAAAGC